GCCUCCUUAGCUCAGUUGGUAGAGCGUCUCACUCGUAAUGAGAAGGUCGCCGGUUCGAUUCCGGCAGGAGGCCCC
rnacentral:tRNA from 1 species